rnacentral:tRNA from 1 species
GGGGAAUAUGCUUACCAGAGGACUCAUAAUCCUUUGGUCCGGGGUUCAAGUCCCUGACGGCCCACCA